GUGUCAACAGCCGCGGUAAUACGGAGGGUGCAAGCGUUAAUCGGAAUUACUGGGCGUAAAGGGCGCGUAGGCGGUUUGGUAAGCGAGUUGUGAAAGCCCCGGGCUCAACCUGGGAAUGGCAAUUCGAACUGCCAGGCUAGAAUGCAGCAGAGGGCAGUGGAAUUCCAGGUGUAGCGGUGAAAUGCGUGGAUAUCUGGAGGAACACCAGUGGCGAAGGCGACUGCCUGGGCUGACAUUGACGCUGAGGUGCGAAAGCGUGGGUAGCAAACAGGAUUAGAUACCCCCGUAGUCC
rnacentral:rRNA from 1 species